GUGGAUGCCUUGGCACUAGAAGCCGAUGAAGGACGUUACUAACGACGAUAUGCUUUGGGGAGCUGUAAGUAAGCUUUGAUCCAGAGAUUUCCGAAUGGGGAAACCCAGCAUGAGUUAUGUCAUGUUAUCGAUAUGUGAAUACAUAGCAUAUCAGAAGGCACACCCGGAGAACUGAAACAUCUUAGUACCCGGAGGAAGAGAAAGAAAAUUCGAUUCCCUUAGUAGCGGCGAGCGAAACGGGAAGAGCCCAAACCAACAAGCUUGCUUGUUGGGGUUGUAGGACACUCUAUACGGAGUUACAAAGGACGACAUUAGACGAAUCAUCUGGAAAGAUGAAUCAAAGAAGGUAAUAAUCCUGUAGUCGAAAAUGUUGUCUCUCUUGAGUGGAUCCUGAGUACGACGGAGCACGUGAAAUUCCGUCGGAAUCUGGGAGGACCAUCUCCUAAGGCUAAAUACUCUCUAGUGACCGAUAGUGAACCAGUACCGUGAGGGAAAGGUGAAAAGCACCCCGGAAGGGGAGUGAAAUAGAACCUGAAACCGUGUGCUUACAAGUAGUCAGAGCCCGUUAAUGGGUGAUGGCGUGCCUUUUGUAGAAUGAACCGGCGAGUUACGAUUUGAUGCAAGGUUAAGCAGUAAAUGUGGAGCCGUAGCGAAAGCGAGUCUGAAUAGGGCGUUUAGUAUUUGGUCGUAGACCCGAAACCAGGUGAUCUACCCUUGGUCAGGUUGAAGUUCAGGUAACACUGAAUGGAGGACCGAACCGACUUACGUUGAAAAGUGAGCGGAUGAACUGAGGGUAGCGGAGAAAUUCCAAUCGAACCUGGAGAUAGCUGGUUCUCUCCGAAAUAGCUUUAGGGCUAGCCUCAAGUGAUGAUUAUUGGAGGUAGAGCACUGUUUGGACGAGGGGCCCCUCUCGGGUUACCGAAUUCAGACAAACUCCGAAUGCCAAUUAAUUUAACUUGGGAGUCAGAACAUGGGUGAUAAGGUCCGUGUUCGAAAGGGAAACAGCCCAGACCACCAGCUAAGGUCCCAAAAUAUAUGUUAAGUGGAAAAGGAUGUGGCGUUGCCCAGACAACUAGGAUGUUGGCUUAGAAGCAGCCAUCAUUUAAAGAGUGCGUAAUAGCUCACUAGUCGAGUGACACUGCGCCGAAAAUGUACCGGGGCUAAACAUAUUACCGAAGCUGUGGAUUGUCCUUUGGACAAUGGUAGGAGAGCGUUCUAAGGGCGUUGAAGCAUGAUCGUAAGGACAUGUGGAGCGCUUAGAAGUGAGAAUGCCGGUGUGAGUAGCGAAAGACGGGUGAGAAUCCCGUCCACCGAUUGACUAAGGUUUCCAGAGGAAGGCUCGUCCGCUCUGGGUUAGUCGGGUCCUAAGCUGAGGCCGACAGGCGUAGGCGAUGGAUAACAGGUUGAUAUUCCUGUACCACCUAUAAUCGUUUUAAUCGAUGGGGGGACGCAGUAGGAUAGGCGAAGCGUGCGAUUGGAUUGCACGUCUAAGCAGUAAGGCUGAGUAUUAGGCAAAUCCGGUACUCAUUAAGGCUGAGCUGUGAUGGGGAGAAGACAUUGUGUCUUCGAGUCGUUGAUUUCACACUGCCGAGAAAAGCCUCUAGAUAGAAAAUAGGUGCCCGUACCGCAAACCGACACAGGUAGUCAAGAUGAGAAUUCUAAGGUGAGCGAGCGAACUCUCGUUAAGGAACUCGGCAAAAUGACCCCGUAACUUCGGGAGAAGGGGUGCUCUUUAGGGUUAACGCCCAGAAGAGCCGCAGUGAAUAGGCCCAAGCGACUGUUUAUCAAAAACACAGGUCUCUGCUAAACCGUAAGGUGAUGUAUAGGGGCUGACGCCUGCCCGGUGCUGGAAGGUUAAGAGGAGUGGUUAGCUUCUGCGAAGCUACGAAUCGAAGCCCCAGUAAACGGCGGCCGUAACUAUAACGGUCCUAAGGUAGCGAAAUUCCUUGUCGGGUAAGUUCCGACCCGCACGAAAGGCGUAACGAUUUGGGCACUGUCUCAACGAGAGACUCGGUGAAAUCAUAGUACCUGUGAAGAUGCAGGUUACCCGCGACAGGACGGAAAGACCCCGUGGAGCUUUACUGUAGCCUGAUAUUGAAAUUCGGCACAGCUUGUACAGGAUAGGUAGGAGCCUUUGAAACGUGAGCGCUAGCUUACGUGGAGGCGCUGGUGGGAUACUACCCUAGCUGUGUUGGCUUUCUAACCCGCACCACUUAUCGUGGUGGGAGACAGUGUCAGGCGGGCAGUUUGACUGGGGCGGUCGCCUCCUAAAAGGUAACGGAGGCGCUCAAAGGUUCCCUCAGAAUGGUUGGAAAUCAUUCAUAGAGUGUAAAGGCAUAAGGGAGCUUGACUGCGAGACCUACAAGUCGAGCAGGGUCGAAAGACGGACUUAGUGAUCCGGUGGUUCCGCAUGGAAGGGCCAUCGCUCAACGGAUAAAAGCUACCCCGGGGAUAACAGGCUUAUCUCCCCCAAGAGUUCACAUCGACGGGGAGGUUUGGCACCUCGAUGUCGGCUCAUCGCAUCCUGGGGCUGUAGUCGGUCCCAAGGGUUGGGCUGUUCGCCCAUUAAAGCGGUACGCGAGCUGGGUUCAGAACGUCGUGAGACAGUUCGGUCCCUAUCCGUCGUGGGCGUAGGAAAUUUGAGAGGAGCUGUCCUUAGUACGAGAGGACCGGGAUGGACAUACCUCUGGUGUACCAGUUGUCGUGCCAACGGCAUAGCUGGGUAGCUAUGUGUGGACGGGAUAAGUGCUGAAAGCAUCUAAGCAUGAAGCCCCCCUCAAGAUGAGAUUUCCCAACUUCGGUUAUAAGAUCCCUCAAAGAUGAUGAGGUUAAUAGGUUCGAGGUGGAAGCAUGGUGACAUGUGGAGCUGACGAAUACUAA
rnacentral:rRNA from 1 species